UACAGAGGUCUCAAGCGUUUGUUCGGAUUCAUUGGGCGUAAAGAGCGUGUAGGCGGCCACUUAAGUCCUGCGUGAAAUCUUGCGGCUCAACCGCAAGCGGUCGUGGGAAACUGGGUGGCUAGAGUGCGGGAGAGGAGAGUGGAAUUCCUGGUGUAGCGGUGGAAUGCGCAGAUAUCAGGAAGAACACCCGUGGCGAAGGCGGCUCUCUGGACCAUAACUGACGCUGAUGCACGAAAAGCUAGGGGGAGCAAACAGG
rnacentral:rRNA from 1 species